CCAGGUGGCUUCCUGGGCGGAGUCCCGCGGCUGCUGCUUGCAUUGCUUUACCCUCAGCACCGCGGUCGAUGGGGGCCUUUACACCCCAACCCGGCUUUGGGGACUGAGGUCACGGUUCUGGAUUCCUGAAACUGCUGCUGCCUGCGGGGUCCCUGGAAAUGUCAGUUGCCAGUGGCCUGCACCGAUGCUGAAGCAGACGCCCCCUGGCGGUCGAAAGCUGGUGGCGGACUCUGGGCUCAGGACCUUUAUGUUGUGUGCCCAGGGAGCAUGGGGUUGCUCUCUCCUGUGCUCCUGGGCGCUGGAAGCCUCUUUUGGCAUCCCAGACGCCGAAACCGCCAUAGCGCCUUUGUGUCUGCAGUGCCCACGCCUGGCACCUGUCCCCGGCCUGCGCCACCCCCGGACCACUGGUUCCCGGUUACAACUUGCGGUUUCAGUCUCAUCUGAGUUGAAGUCUUGGCCCAGACGUGUGCUGGCUGAGGUGUUGUUGGCAGGACAUUUUAGUAUCCGUCCAGGUUCCUAUCACAUUCCCAAGAAGUGAAAGUUCAAAGUCCAGAGUCCAGAGUCUCAUUACCACUCGGAGAAAUGGAUCUCAGAACAGUCACUUACAGGCAUGAAGUAGUGGGAUGGCUGUCACUCUGAGCAGAAGCCCGGAGUUCCCAGGGGAAUGACAAGGUAAGGAGUUGGAGAGGUCCCCUGCUGAGAGGUCUGGUCCAGCUGUGUGGUCAGGUCAGGCAGCAGGCUGAUAAGGGGUCCAGGCGAGGCGGUGGCUCCACUGGUGUUUGGUCCUGUAGUCGCCGUGUGUUGCUUAGCAAGGGGGCUAGUGAGCUGGCUCUUAAGCUCCAUGUGCGAGGAGAUCCAGAGGUUCACAUGUACUGGGCCCUUGAUCGGUUGUCAUCUUGUGCCAUUACAGAUCCAUGUGUAACGGGCUGCCUCUUCAGCUCUGAAUGUGUGAAGAUCCAGAGGUUCACAGACACCGGGACCAUGAUCCUUUUAUCCUUGUCAUUUUGAAGGGAGAGUCUCCAGGAGCGGUAGGGUGUCACCAAUCAGUUGUGCUCCCUCUGGGAGUUUCCCGGGGUACCACCAAUCUGUUGUUUAGGACAGGGUGUAUCUGCAGUAUUCCUGGGGUGCAGCCAAUCCCUGUGCGAGUAGGAAGGUAACUUGAGUUUGUCGUCUGUAGCAUACAUGUUAUCAGACUGCCCAGGGAUGUCUGUUCAGUCUGAUGAGGAGCAUCUUUGUGGCAAGCGCUGAGCUUGACAUAAGUGAUGUCAUCAGCUUCUGGCUUAGCAUAAGUGACUCCAUUUUUAUUUCCUAUUUUUGCUUGUUUGUGGGCAGCAGUGAGCUAUAACUCUUUUUUGGGGCUACCAGUGGCUUUCUCCACAGUCCAGAGCCUUUUAAUCAUUGGGUGGGCAGUUAUCUGUGACCCAUUUUUGGGAGUCCUGUGGGAUUCUCCUCAGUGGGAGUCCAUAGCACUUCAUUAGAGUCUGUUGCAUUUCUGGGUGAGUGCUUACCUCAGGGCCAGGCCAUGCUAAGGGCUGUGCUGGUGUUUGCUGUGGGUGUUUUGCCCGAGUGAGGCAGAGGAGGUGGCAGGGCCUCUGGGGACAGCAAGCCCGGUGUUGGGGAGAGGAAGAGGAGGGAUCUCUGCUGAAGGGUGGGAGCACUUAUGGAGGAAGCAGUCAGGCUGGGUAGGAACACUGGGCCAGAGAGUGGUGGUCUUGGGCGCUGGGCUGAAGGGAGUCCACCCAGCAUGCUGGGAGUCUGAGCAGGGGUCAGCUGGCAUUGAGUGCAAUAGGACACUGGUCAGGUGUGUGUGAGUGGGGAGCAGGGCUUCACUUGGGAACCUUGGCUCAGAAUCUUCCUCCUUCAGACCUCAGACUCUUUCCAGUCUCACCAGGACAGUCACUCCCCAGUCUCCACUGCGGUCUGUGUCUGCAGCCCACGGCAGGAGAUUUGGGGGUCACCACCGAAUAACUUGUGGGCCCUGGGUCACUAGGCUCAGUUCCUGUAGAGAGCAAGCCCCCAGCGGAUCAGGAGCUGUGUCUCAUGUGUGGACACUCAGGGCUGCUGCCUCCUGAGUCUCUUGCUGUUGUCCUGUGGGCCAUUUGGCAUCUGUAGCCUGGAUGUGGAGACAUGGGAAUGACCUGAAUGUGCAGGGUUUGUGGAGAGAAUGACGGGAGGAACAGACUCAAGUUUUUGGUCUUCGUCCACCUGCUGUAUUACUUAGGGAAGGACAAGUGUCGAUAUUAACCAAAGUACAGGGUGCACUUGGAGGAGCUAGGCCAUGGAGGGAGCUGGCUGAGGAGGCAGGGCUGGGUGUGUAGGAGUGGCAGGGGGUGAGUGCCGGGUGUGCAUCCUGUUGGCGAUGCGUGACUUCCUCUCAUAGGGUUCUCCCUGAAGGGCUGACAAGAACAUGGCUGCGCUGCCCUUGCACUCUGUGAUUCUUCCAUAUCCUUUUGUUGUGUUGAGAACCCUGCAUGGGAAAUCUGCUGUCUGAGGCUUAUCUGCAUCUCUAGAAUUUCUAAAUCUUUUAAAAAAGAUUUAUUUCUUAUUUUGAAAGUCACAGUUCCAGAAAAGGGAGAGACAGAGAGAGCUAUCUUCCAUCUGUUGGUUCACUCCCAAGAUGGUGGCAGUGGCUUCCCUGGUCCAAGCUGAAGCCAGGUACUUCUGCCCAGUACCCUGUGUGUGUUGCAGGGGCACAGGUACUUGGGCCAUCUUCCUCUGCUUUUUGCAGACCACUUGCAGGGAGCUGGAUUGGAAUUGGAGCAGCCAGGACAGGAACCGGUGCCCACAUGGGAUGUGAGGGUUUUCAGGCUGUGGCUUUAUCCAGUGCACCACAACACGGGCCCCGUUUCCAGAACUUCUUCAUCUCCCCGCCUCCUGCUUUUACUGGAUCCUGGAUGGAAGUCUUUCUUUGUUGUCCAAGACGACUGCCUCAGUCACGUGAGCACUGGUGUUGGUUGAGUGUCCCCAGUGUGCUUUCUGCGGUUGUUCUGACAGCACGAGAGGACGGAUUGCAUUUUUGAUUCUCUGGGAAGAUUAUCCAGGGUGAUCUCGUACCUGUGAAGGAGUGCAGUGAACCAAGGGUUAAGUCAGCAGGCAUGUAGUGAAUCCUCUUUUGUGCUAUGGUCAUCUUUAGAACGUUUUGGGGGAAAAAUGCCUGAUCCUCGGCAGGAUCCAGUAUUCUUAAACUGCUUACAUAUAUAGAAAUGAAGUGAGUUUUCAUCUCUGUAAUGGGGGGCAUCUCUGUUUAUAAAGGGGGCAUGUAUUUUUAUAUAAAUAGAUUUGAAAGUGCCCAAGUUAAGCAUUGUGUAUUUGUGUGCAGUUAAUUUUAGAAUAUAUGUUGCAACUUAUAUGGUUAACAUUCCCAUAGAUGGGGCCUGCACUGUGGCUCAGAGGGUUAAAGCCCUGGGCUGCAGUGCCUGCAUCCCAUAUGGGUGCUGCACUUCGAGUCCAGCUCCCUGCUAACGUGCCUGGGACAGGCAGCCGAGGAUGGCAGAAGUCGUUGGGCCCCUGCAACCGUGUGGGAAAGGAAGCAAACAGGUGUUGUAUCAGGUGUGGCCUGCAGGUGCUGGGAUAGUGACAUCUGGGGACAUUUCCGUGCUGGCAUGGGUCUUCCGUGCAUCCUGGAGACUCCUGUCCAGGCCUUGGGGCCUGCGGAUCAUUCGCCACUGUCACUUCUGCUCCAGCCUCAUUUCUCUGCCUACUGAGCCUUGAUGUCUCACGGUGUGGCUCCCUGACUGGAGGGCACACCUUUGGAUCUUCCUGAUGGCAGCCUGAGAGGGGCUGAGCUAUUUUGCAUCCUGGGAGGCAUCUCUGUCCAGGCUCCCUGCUCCUUGGCUGCACAGCCUGCCUGCUGGGGGCCCCCUUCUGCUUCUCCCUGGACAGCUUGACCUGCUCUCCUCCUGGCUCUUACUGCCCAGCCCCCUACCCCAGGAUACCUUCCCAUGCCCCACGGGUGCCACCUGAUCCUGGGUCUCACCCCACAGUGUGGUUCUCCUGUGGUAUCCCAUCGUGGGACAGACUCUGCAGCUGUGGUGGAGAGCCCUGAAUCAGUGACUGUGGCAGUGUAAAGGGAGAUGAUGUGUGUGACACUGAGUGAGGCAGAAUCCAGUGCAUAGUUAUAGAGAGGCAGAGGCAGAGAGAGAGAAGUCUUCCAACCACUGGUUCAGUCCUCAGAUAGCUCCAACAACUGGAGCUGGGUCGAUUGGAAGCCAGGAACCAGGAGCUUCCUCUGUGUCUCCCAUGCAGGUGCAGGGGCACAAGGACUUGAGCCAUCUUCUGCUUUCCCAGAGAGCUGGAUCGGAGUGGAGCAGCUAGGGCUUGAACUGGUGCCCAUAAGGGAUGGUGGCACUGCAGGCAGUGGUGCAGGUUGCUGGAUUUGUUUUUAAAAGCUUUGUUGCAGGAGGGGUUUGUGGCACAGGAGGUCAAAUGGCUAGCUUGGAUGCCUGUAUCCCCCAUGAGGGUGCUGGGUUUGGCUGCCAGUAUUCUGCUUCCAAUCCAGCUUCCCACUGACGUGUCUCUGGGGGGCAUAGGCAGUGGCUCGAGCACUUGGGUCCCUGCCACCAAUGAGAGCUCUGCCUCUCUUUCUGCUUUUCAAGUCAAAUGAAAAUUGAUGAAAAAAAUUUAAAAAACAGUUUCUUUGUCCACUGGGUGGAGAUUGUCCAUGGGUCCCUGGUUCCUAGCUGUGGAGAUUGUGUCUCCUUAAGGAACACUGUGGUUGGCCCAACCGGGAGGUGCUCCUGGCUUGGGUCAGGUGGUUGCCAGAGAUGCUGCCCCACACCCUGCAGUGCCCAUAGUGCCCUAGAGCAAGAGCAAUCUGGGUCCAGUGCCUAGGGGAGAGCCUCUAGGUCUGGGGUACAGGACAGGAUCCAGGAGAUUAAUGAGGAGCUGGAGAGACAGGGUUUGAUCUGGACUCUGCUGUGAGAAGUGACGUGGCUUUAUGUGGAUUCCCUGUCCCAUGCCUCAAUUUCCCUGCUACAAAAUGGGCAUAGUAGCCCCCUUCUCGUUUUUUUCAGGAUUGCAGAAGGUGAUUCUGUCAUAUCCCGAUACCUGCGCCUCUGCACCUGCAUCCUAUAGUUGCCGCGGCCACCGUUACAGAGUGUCAGUGCAUGAGGACAGGGAACUGGGGCGGGAUCUCCCUUCCCAGCAUCCCUGGAACUUCACCAAGGUCAUCUUAUCUGGGUACUUGGUUUUUAGGGCUUAGAAUUGCAUGAUUUCAGACCUGAGUGUAACCUGAGCUUGUGGGGAAUCACAGGGUUAGGACUGGUCCUGUCCAUGGUGUGAUCACCCUGGACUUUCAUCUUUGUUGGUUGGCCCUGCAGGAAGUGAGCAGAGGGGUGGAAAGCCCUUGCUCCCCACCUCUACCUCCUCUGUCCCCCGAGUUCACUGGGCUUGUUCCUGUGGGGAAGCAAACGCCACACUGCAGGGCUAUGUCUGCCUUCCUAGGGAGAUACACAGGGCAUCAGCCUUGUCCUCUCCCGCGCAGCAGAAGCACAGAGACUCCUGCUCCGUCAGCUGUGACUCACACUAGUCCAUCCCUGCCCACUGCCCUCGUCCCUGCCUCCCGGCCUCUGACAACUGCCGUUGUGCCCUGAGCCUCCAGGGCAUCACCACUUUGCAGAUUCCACGCGUGAGUGAGGUCAUGUGGUGUUUGUCUUUCUGUGCUUGGUUGAUUUCACUUAACCCAGUGAUUUCCAGAUCCUCCCAUGGUACCACAAAUGACAAGAUUUCAACCUUUUUUAUAGCCGAGUAGUAUUCCUAUGUGUACACGUACCCCUUUUUUUCUUUUUCCAUCCAUGGUGGAUGGAUGUGUAGGUUGUUUGCAUUCCUUAGCUACUGGGAACAGGACUGCAGUAAAAUUAAUUAAUUAAUUACCUUUCCAUUGGUUACCUCACGGUGUGGCAGAACAUUUGACAUUGCUCUUCACAGUGAACUGUGCUCUGUACCGGUCCACCAUCCUCCCUCCACUCCCCCCUCCCCUUUCCAACCUUUGGUAAACUCUGUUCUUUUUGCCUACUUCUGUGAGAUCAACGUUUUAGGAUUUCAUACGUAAAUGGGAACAUGCAGUAGUUUUCCUCCUGCGAUUGACUUGUUUAACUAAUACGGUGUCCUCCCUGGGGCCGGCACUGUGAUGUAGUGGGCUAACCCUCCCCAUGUGGUGCUGGCAUGCCAAAUGGGUGCUGGUUCAUGCCCCAGCUGUUCUUCUUCCAAUCCAGCUCUCUGCUGCAAAAGCAGUGGAGAAUGGUCCAAGUGUUUGGACUCCUGCACCCACCUGGGAGACAUGAAAGAGGCUUCUGUCUCCUGGCUUUAGAUCGGCUCAGCUCUGGCCUUUGUACCCAUUUAGGGAGUGAACCAGUGUAUGGGAUACCUUUGUUUCCCUCUGUCUGUAACUCAACUUCUCAAAUAAAUAAAAUCCUUCCCCCACCGAAAAAAACCAUACACAAACAGAAAAACCCACAAUACCUUCCAGGCUCAUGGAUGUUGCUGCAGAUGACAUGGCUAUGUUCUUUUUUAUGGCUGAGUAUUAUUCCAUUAUGCAUAUGUAACCAGGUGUUCUUUAUCAAUUCAUCUACCAGUAGAGUGUCUAGGUUGACUCCAUACCUUGGCUUUCAUGAACAGUGCUGCAGUAAACGUGGCGUGCAACUAUGUUGUCCACAUUUGGUUUCCUUUCCUUUGGAUGUAUACGCACAGACAGAUUGCUGGAUCAUAUGGCAGUUCUAUUUCUAGUGUUUUGGGGAAACACCAUACUGUUUGCCACAAGGACUGCAUUGAUGGACAUUCCUGUCCAGAGUGUGUGAGAAUUCCCCUUUCUCCAUGUCCUUGAAUUUGUUCAUUGUGUUUUUUUCUGGUCAGACCUGGGAGAGAGAAUCUUUGAUUGAGGUUUUGAGUUUCAAGUCCCUGAUGAUUAAUAUGAUUGAGCAUUAUUUCAUGUAGUUUUUGGCCAUUUGUAUAUCUUCUUCUGACAUGUAUCUACUCAGAUAAUUAGCUCAUUUUUAAUUGCAUUUUUGUGGGGGGACUUUUGGGUUGAGUUCCUUAAUCUCAUCAGGGGAACAACUUGCAAAUACUUUCUCUUAUUCUUUGAAGAAUGUCAUUGGUAUUGUGAGAGGAAUUGCAUUGUGUCUAUAGUAGUUGGACAUUUGAAAGUUCUAGUUCUUCAAAUGCAUGACCAUGAGAUGACUUUGCAGUUUUUAGUCAUCUCUUCAAUUUCUAUCAACUCCUUGUUCUACCACUGGGUUGCCUUCUUGAUCUCUUUUCAUCUGAUUUGUUCCUAGGGUAUUGAAAUGUUGGUUUUUGUAAGCUGAUCCUGUAUCCUACACUUUUAUUGAAUUAUUUUAAUUCUUUUGAUGAAGUUUUAAAUUUUCCUAUAUAUAAGAUCAUAUAGAUUGCAAGUAAGGACUAUUAAUUGAUGCUGUUAUUUUUUUGCUCUUGCUAAAUUGUGCUGGGUAGCACUCCCAGUUGUGUGUUGAGGAGAGUGAUAUAAGGGAUCCAUUGAUUGGACAGGAACAUGGUGUUUGAUUUCCAUGCAUUUGGCUGAUAUCUACAAUUCCUCUGGUUGAUUACUAAUAUUUUAUUCCAUUAUGGCCUGUGAAAAGGUGAUUUUGAUUUUUUAAAAUGAGUUGAGGCUUGUUUUGUGGGCGAAUGUAGGGUCUCUUCUGGAGAAUGUUCCACGUGCUGAGGGGAAGAAUGCAUAUUCUGCAGUGCUCCACAAAUGUUAAGUCCAUUUGGUGUGUAGUGCUUCUUAAGUCUAGUGCUUCUUUGCUGGUUGUCUGUCUAGAUGAUCUGUCCAUUGACAGGUGGGAUGUGGAAGUCCCCAGCUCCUAUUGUUGUGGGGUCUCUACCUCCCUUUAGAACCAAUAUUGUUUGUAUUCCAUGCUUAGGUGGUGUUGUUUUCAGGUGCAUGUAUGUAUUUCCAGUUGUUAGAUGCUCUUUCUGACAGAUUCUUUUAUCCUGAUGUAAUGUGUGUCUGAAAUGAGUUUCUUCCAGGCAGUAUCUUGAGUGUUGGUCUUUAUCCACUCAGCCGGUCUUUAUCCUUUAAGUGGGGAAUUUAACCAAUUUACAUUCAAAGUUGUUAUUAACAGAUAACAACCUAUGUCUACCUUGACACUUUUUUUAGGGACAAGUAUUUUCAUUUAUCUUGAGUAUGAGCUAGGUGCUGAGUCUGACAGUAACUCUUCAUAUCUCCAUUUGGACAACCACUUGAUUUGUACAGUGGCUGCACCAUUUCACAUUCUCAGCAUCAAUGGGUGAGGUCUGUUUGUCCAUAUCCUUUACAACUCUGGUUCCUCCCCAUUGUUUAAAUUCCUGCCACUCAAGUGGGGGAGAGUUGGUGUCACAUUGUGGCUUCCAUUUGCUUUUCUCUGGGGCCUGAAGAUGUUGGGCAACUUUUACUGUGCUUAUCUUAGAAGAAAUGCAUAUUCAGAUAUUUGAGACAUGGUGGUUUGGGUUGUUCAUUUUCGUAUUGUUCAAUUGUAAGUGUUCCUUAUAUUUUGUGGACAGAGGAUCUUAUCGUAUACAUGCUUUUAAAAUAUUUUGUCUGAAUCUGUGUGAUCUUUUUUUCACUUUGAUAAUGUGUUUCUUGAAUCAGAAGUGUUUGAGAUUUGGAGAAAUUAGUGUUUAUCUUUUUAUUAUGUAUCAUAGUUGUGAUAAUGUAUCAAAAAUCUGCGGGUCACUCAAAAUUGUCAAGAUUUUGUAAGUUUUCUUCUAAGUGAUUUAUAUUUUUGACUUUUAACAUUUAUGCUUAGAUGCUUUAUUUUGAGUUAUGUUUUGGAGUGGAUGAGGUGAACAUGUAAAUGAGAGGCCUGGAAGCUCAUUUUCUGCUGGGCCAUUAGGUAUUUAGAGCAUCAUUUGCUGUGUUUGUAAGUCUGCCCAGGAUGCUCCCUUCUCUGGGCCUUCUCAUGUCUCCUGCGCAGAUGCGCAAGUCUUCACACCUGAUCAGGGGUGAGUAGGCAGAAGGGACCUUCUCUUUGUUUACUGAUGUAGCCCAGGCCCCCAUGUGCACAACAACCUCUAGAUCAACAGGGAAACACAGAAGACUUUCCAGGUCCAGAUGUCGGUCUUCCUGGUUCUGCUCUGUGAACUUGAGUCUGGCGCACUGGGGAGAGGGAAAUCCUGGGUGACAGAGCUCUUGCUGGUGCACACAUGUCUGUUGGACCCAUUUCAGUCCACCUGUAGGCAGGGCAGCUGGUCCCCAGAGGUCAACAGUGUCCCUCAGUUCAUUGGUAUCACUGUGUUCUACCUGUGGGCUCUCAGGGACUGCGAGGUUCUUCGUCUGUAAGCCAGAACCACACGGCAGUGGAAGAUUAUGAAAGCCUGGGGUGCACUUCCCUAUGGAAACACAGCCUGUUCCAGAGGAACAUGGUCACUAUCCUUGGGACAUCCUCUGUGUCUCCAUCUUCUCAGCCAAGACCACCCAUGUCACCUGCAUACCAGGCAGUCUGGGUUACAUGGGGUCCUGGACAAGGCCCCUCAGUCUCCUGUGCAGUAGGCAAAUCCUUCCUCUAAUUUAGGUACCAGUGACUCAUUGUUGAGCACAGGGACAGAGACUGUGACUCCUUCUGUGUGUGUAUGACCCCUGGACCUGAUCGUGUGCCCUCAGUUAAGAAUCCCUUACCUACACCCUGUUAACACUUCAUACUGGAGCUGAGGACUCCCAGUGUGUGCAGGGAGGUGCAGAGCAUCGCAUUUCCUGACGCGGUGAUGGCUGCAGCAGGGCUGCCUUCCCAUUGCACAGAUGAGGACACUGAGGCUGCGGGGACAGCUUUGUCCAUUGAGAAAAGAUUGUCCAUGGGGCCCUGGUUCCUAGCUGUGCAGAUUGUGACUCCUUAAGGGACACUGUGGUUGGCCCAACUGGGAGGUGCUCCUGGCUUGGGUAAGGUGGUUGGUUGCCAGAGAUGCUGCCCCACACUCUAUAGUGCCCAGGGUGCCCCGGGCCAAUAUCGAUCUGAUCUGUGUCCGGUGUCCAUGGUGCCUAGAGGUGAGCUCUUGGGGCUGGGGUACAGGAGUGGAACCAGGAGAUUGAUGAGGAACUGGAGAGACAGGGCAUGAUCUGGACUCUGCUGUGAGAAGUGACGUGGCUUUAUGUGGAUUCCCUGUCCCGUGCCUCAAUUUCCCUGCUACAAAAUGGGCAUAGUAGUCCCCUCCUCGAGUUUUCAGGAUUGCAGAAGGCGUUCCUUGUAAAGCCCUGAAACCUGAGCCUCUACACCUGUACCCUUAUAGCUGCGGCGGCGGCCAUUGCUGUGUGUCACUGUGUGAGGAGAGGGAACUGGGGCAGGAUCUCCCUUUCCAGCAUCCCUGGAACUUCACCCAGAUCAUCUUAUCCAGGUUCUUGGGUUUUAGGGCUUAGGAUUGCAUGAGUUCAGACCUGAUUGUAACCUGAGCUUGUGGGGAAUCACAGGGUCAGGACUGUGUGCGUCCAUGGUUUGAUCGCCAUGGACUUUCACCUUCGUAGGUUGACCUGCAGGAAGUGAGCAGAAGGGUGGAAAGCCCUUGCUCCCCACCUCCACCUCCUCUGUCCCCUGAGUUCACUGGGCUUGUUCCUGCGGGGAAGCUAACGCCACACUGCAGGGCUGUGUCUGCCUUCUUAGGGAGAUACACAGGGCAUCAGCCUUGUCCUCUCCCGUGCAGCAGAAGCACAGAGACUCCUGCUCCGUCAGCUGUGACUCACACUAGUCCGUCGCUGCCCACUGCCCUCGUCCCUGCCUCCCGGCCUCUGACAACUGCCGUUGUGCCCUGAGCCUCCAGGGCAUCACCACUUUGCAGAUUCCACGCGUGAGUGAGGUCAUGUGGUAUUUGUCUUUCUGUGCUUGGUUGAUUUCACUUAACCCAGUGAUUUCCAGAUCCUCCCAUGGUACCACAAAUGACAAGAUUUCAACCUGUUUAUAGCCGAGUAGUAUUCCUAUGUGUACACGUACCCCUUUUUUUCUUUUUCCAUCCAUGGUGGAUGGAUGUGUAGGUUGUUUGCAUUCCUUAGCUACUGGGAACAGGACUGCAGUAAAAUUAGGGGCACAGAUCUCUCUUCCACAGACUUAACUUCCUUUCCCUUCGAUGUACACCAGGUAGUGGGAUUGCUGGACUGGAUGGUGGCUGUAGUUUCUGUUUAUUGAGCAACUUCCUUGCUGCUUUGCAAUUCUUCAUUCGCACCCACAGAGUGCCAAGUGUUCCCUCCCCUCCACAGACAUCCUCACUUGUUAUCUUUCAUCUCUUGGUAUCCCAUUGUGGUUUUGCUUUGUAUCUCUCUGAGUUUAGUGUUCAGCACUUUUGUACAGUAUUUCACAGUAUCUGUAGUCCCCCCCUGUGCUGUGGAAUAGAACCAGUGAGAUGUCUUCCUUUAAGAAAUGUCAAUUUCUAUCUAUGGCCAUUUUUAAUCUGACUUACUUAUUGUUGUUUUUUUGCUUUUGCUGUUAGUUGUGUUUUAUAUUGACUUUACUAACUGCUAUGCCAGAUGUUGACUGGCACAUAUUGUUCCCUUUGGUGUGCCGAAGCUGUUUAAUUUUGUGAAAUCCCAUUUGUCCGCUAGUUGGCUUGGUAUGCUGUGCUCUUGGGAUCUGAUCUAAGAAAUCCUUGCCCGUAGCACUGUCCGGAAGCAGUUCCCCUGUGUUUUCUUCUAAUUGUUUCAAAGGCUCAGGUCUUAGAUUUCAGUCUUUCUUCUGUUUUGAUUUCUUUUUUAAUACCAAUAUGAAUCACCCACAGCAUUGAUGAGUAUGUUGUGUGCUCGUUAUGACCAGGUUUUCUUCCAUGUUCUUUUCAUUUAAUCAAUUUGUUCUUCCCAAAAGUGAUAGAGUUAGGUUCUGUGGUUAAGCACUGUCUUGCAGUUGAGGAUCCAGAGGCAGCGUUCCACAAAUGAUGAGUCCGUUUGGUUUGUAGCACUUCGUAAGUCUAGUGCUUCUAGACUGCCUAGAUAACCUGAUGGUGAAGUCCCCAGCACCUAUUGUUGUGGGGUCUCUACCUCCCUUUAGAACCAAUAUUGUUUGUAUUCCAUGCUUAGGUGGUGUUGUUUUCAGGUGCAUGUAUGUAUUUCCAGUUGUUAGAUGCUCUUUCUGACAGAUUCUUUUAUCCUGAUGUAAUGUGUGUCUGAAAUGGGCUUCUUCCAGGCAGUAUCUUGAGUGUUGGUCUUUAUCCAUUCAGCCAGUCGGUAUCCUUUAGUGGAGAAUUUAACCCAUUUAUAUCCUAGGUUCUUAUUAACAGAUACCAACUUAUGUCUACCUGGGUACUUUUGUCUAGGUACAAGUAUUUUCAGUCAUCUUGAGUAUGAGCUAGGAAUGGAGUAGCUGAGUCCGACAGUAACUCUUCAUAUCUCCAUUUGGGGACAACUGCUUGAACACUACAGUGGCUGCACCAUUUCACACUCUCACCAUCAAUGGGUGAGGUCUGUUUGUCCAUAUCCUUUAUAACUCUGGUUCCUCCCCAUUGUUUAAACUCCUGCCACUCAAGUAGGGGAGAGUUGGUUCACACUGUGGCUUCCAUUUGCUUUUCCCUGGGUCCAGAUGAUGUUGAGCAACUUUUUCUGGGCUUAUCUUAGAAGAGAUGCACAUUUGAAUAUUUGACUCCUGGUUGGUUGAGUUGUUCAUUUUCCUAUUAUUCAGUUGUAAGUGUUCCUUAUAUUUUGUGGACAGAAGAUCUUGUUAGAUACAUGAUUUUAAAAUAUUUUUUCUGAAUCUGUGUGAUGUUUUUUCACAUUGAAAAUGUGUUUUGGCCAAUGCUGCAGCUUAAUAGGCUAACCUCCAUCUGCUGCGUCGGCACCCCGGGUUCUAGUCCCAGUCGGGGUGCCGGAUUCUGUACCGGUUGCCCCUCUUCCAGUCCAGUUCUCUGCUGUGGCCCGGGAGUGCAGUGGAGGAUGACCCAAGUGCUUGGGUCCUGCACCUACAUGGGAGACCAGGAGAAGCACCUGGCUCCUGGCUUCAGAUCAGCACGUUACGCUGGCCGCAGCGGCCAUUGGAGGGUGAACCAAUGGUAAAGGAAGACCUUUCUCUCUGUCUCUCUCACUCUCACUGUCCAGUCUGCAUGUCAGAAAAAAAAGAAAAUGUGUUUUUUGAAUCACAAAUGUUUGAAAUUUGGAGAAAUUACCUUAUAUCUUUUUAUUAUCUAUCAUAGUUGUGAUGCACUCAUAAUCUGCGAGUCACUCCAAGUUAGAAACAUUUUGUAAAUUGUCUUCCAUGUGAUUUAUAUUUUGACUCAACAUUUAUGUUUUUGAUGCUUUAUUUUAGGUUUCAUUUUAGAAUUCAUGAGGUGCAAAACUAAAUGAGAGGUGUGGAGGCUCAUUUUCUGUCAUGGUCAUUGGAUGUUUAGAGCAUCAUUUGCUGUGUUUGUCGUCUGCCCAGAUGUUCCCACCACCAGGGAAAUACAGAAGACUUUCCAGCUCCAGGAGCAUCGGGGGUGAGGGCUGGCCCAGCGUCCCCACCACUGGGCGAGGCGCCCACAGCAGGGUUUCUUGGGGCCUGGGCUUCGGCAUCGCGGGAUACAACUCAGGAACAUCUUGCUACGAGACUCUAUCCAGGUGAGCUGGCUUAGACUCAACUCUGGAAUGUUGGGGUGGUUGCUGGGGCACCCAGUUCUCUAGGUCAUCACCAACGUAGUGAGGUCACUUCCUGUGGCUCCUAAGCUGAGCCCCCUCCUCACACAAGAUAUCCUCAGAUUCUACUUGGGCACUGCCUAUGCUACUUUUACCCCUACGCCAUGUACCCACUGUCCACAGUUGCACCAAUACAGGCAGCACCUGCCACAGGGCUGGCUUGGGCCCAGACAGUGCCACAGCUGGGCUUGGACCUGCUCUCUCAUCUUUGUACGAGUUUGAGCCUGCACAGUUCAUCGUCCCUCUCUGGACAUUCUCAGUCUCUCUUGUGGUUUCUGGGGAUCAUUCUAGCAUGUGCUUGCAACAGAUGCCAUCAGUUGUGUAGUGCCAAGGAACCCCUAGGCCUGGCGUCACCUGUACUGAUGCCCAAACACUCUAGAUGUGAGAUGGUUCCUAACCUGGGGUAGGGGUUUCUGGGAACUGGGAGUAAAGCAGUUGGUAUUGUCAGAUUGAAGAGUGCCAGGCAGCUUGUGGGUAACACUUGCUGCAUCCUGGGUCAAGUUGUCCAUCACCAAGAUCUGAGCAAUGGUGGCAGCAGCACAUCCAGGAGCACUUAGUCUUGAGGACACUUAGUCUACCUUAUGGCACUCAGGUGUGGCUUGGGACCUGGCCAUGCUGAGCUGCUGAUGCAGAGAGCUGAGAGGUGCACGUUCACCUGCACUCCUGUUUGUCCAGCAUCUCACGGGAAUCAGGGCUGAGUCAUUUGGGCAGUUUGAUAAGUGUCUUCCUUAUCGUAGACAUGAUUGCCAGGACCGGAAGUUCAGCAUCAGUUCAGAAUUGUGGAGGAGAAAGGGACAGCCAUUGCCAGGACAUCAGAAUGCUGGUGUCAGGUUCUCCCCUGGGAGACAGAGGAGUGCAAAGGGAGAGGUCUGAGAACCCCUGAGCCUGGUCUGUGGGUUGCUGGGUCUGACCUUCCCUGCUUCACAGCAUGGGGCCACUUUAUUCAGGGUUAGAGACCUCUGCCUUCUAUAAGUAGAAAUAUAGAGGGAAUUUCAUGCUUCUCAAUGGAUGACUGUGAUGUUGGCUUUGCCUUCCCAGCACUUGAGGUACAUCUGGGAUUUUAUUCUUCUUGCUCCCCCAUCCCUAGAGGCUUUCAUGUUUCACCAGUUUUGUGUAGCUGUCCAUAGGGGGAGGGGGAGACAGACACUUUUCUAAGCUGGAAUCUGGACUUAAGCCAUCCCCCAACUGACUCUUGUAACUUGACAUCCCAAAGAGGAUAGGAUAGAAAGCAGGCUUCCUGGGACCCUGAUGCCCAGGGAAGUUGGGUGGUUCUAACAGGUGCUGCCUAUCUCAGAGUGUCCAGAAAACCUAAACACAAUCAGUGCUAAGGCUAUUCCUCUUUAUUGGUGGACACUGCCUACUGUGUUUCGUAAGUCAUAACAUGGAGAAUAUCAACAUGGAGAAUAUCUACAUGGGUAGAAAGAUGUGGAGGCAGGCUGCUGGCUUGCUGCUGGCUCUCCUGUAUAUUCCAGGGACCCCAGUAGGAUGAGGGACACUGCCAUGGGGGUGAGCGUGAAACCACAAAGCGCCCAUCCAUAUGUCAGCGGCUAAUUUAGAGCCUCGCCCAUGUGCCUACAGCAAGCUGGAAGGACACUGGUGAGGAGUGGCCCAGGUGUCCCCAGAUGGGAAGGGCUCAGCUCCCCUCAACAGAAGAAGUCCAAUGGGUUACUGGCUCUGCAGAUGGCCUCUGGAUAAAAUCCAAAUCCGGUGUGAAGCCCUUGGCUACCCUAGAGAUAGGACGAGUUGGAGAGAUAGAGGAUGGACACUGGAGUCACAAAAUGAGCUGUUAAAGGAGUUUCCGUGAGAGCAGACAGAGAGAGGAGUGGAACCUCUGCCCUGUGGCCUGGUUUAAAAGUUCUGACUCCCACAUUUCCUGAGCUCUGCAUCCCACCUGGGAAGAGACUGGCUAUGAAAUCAGACGUUCCUGGUCUAAGUCAGGAUGGAGCAGCAGUGCAUGUCUAAGGCAUUGAAAGCUUCUCAGGGUGGGAUUUGAAGCAGGAGGUUGGACACUGUGGGGUUACACACAUCCCACAUGGUGAUGCUAAGGUUCCAGGCCUACCUCCACUCUGAGUCUAGCUUCUUGUGUAUGUAGUCCUGGGGAGGCAGCACAUGCUGUCUCAACUGGUUGGGUCCCUGCCACCCAUGUGUCAGACCUCAAUUGAGUGCCCAGCCCCAGUAGUGGCAUUUCAGGGGUGAAUCAGCACAUGUGUGAUAUCUGUGUCUAUUUCCCAGAAAUAAUAUUGUAUAAAAGUCUGUAGAGGGAAAUUGGAGAUGUGGGCUGCAUAUCAUUGACAAAGUGGUAAUGGAUAGGUUUUGGUUUCCAAGAUGGCUGGAGUCCCUAGGUUUUAGGCAUAAGGUACAAAUGACUUGCUGCCUGGAGACCCCAAUUGUCUGGAAACCAUCCAGUGAGACCCUACAUAUAAUCAGUUAGCCUUUGCCAAGAAAUUCAUGAGAAGUGCUUAAAGGUCUGUUCCAAGUGCCUUAGCCUGUGUUAGAGCAGCCACAAAAAGGAAUUAGGAUUCAGCCCCUUUGAAUUAUCUAUGGAAGGCCCUUUCCCAAUUGGGCUGGCCCCUUAACCUGCCAAAGGUGGGAAAUGAGAACAAGACAACACAAUGAGGACAGGUAGUGGCUGCUCUCAUCUGAUGUGCACCUCAGACCUAGUCUCACCAACACACUAGGCAGCCCACCCCCUUGAUUGUAAACUGAGCUCUCUUCAGGAGCAGUUUAACUCCUUCUGGGCAGGACCACACUUGGCGCUGUUUACCACUGAUUGUUCUCCUAAACUUCUCCAUGGGACUCCUUGCAGUCACCACAGCUGAGAGCAGGGAAGUUCCUUGUCUCUCCUGCACCCCGGAUGGCUCCUUGGAGAGCCCCUGUCAGACCUCAGACUGCUGCUCAACAGGGCGCCACGUUGAAUGUCAGGUGAGGAUGCCUCUAGACGCCUGCCCUGUUGCCCACAGCCUCUGGGGGCUACACCCGGUGUCUGAAGUCCUUUGUUGAUGUUGAGUAGGAGAGUGUCUCUCCACCAGCCUGGGCCAUGUCCAGGAUCAACAAGAAGUAGUUACAAAAGCAUGACUUCGUGCUUUACCCCCCAGAGUGGGAGUGAAAUGUCUCAGGGGGCACCUUGUAGCCUAAUGUGUAGGAUUUGGGCGAAAUGGGGAGGGGAGAUGUGGAACAGGGGCAGGGAUUGUAAACUGCCUAGAGCUUGUUUUCCUGAUGUGCCCGGGGAGCAGAAUUUUUUACACUGAACUCAGAGUGGCUGGACCGCCACAAACCACCACCGAAGCAGCAAGAAGCCAGUUUGAGUCAGAUCUUGCAGACCUGAGCUAGGCUUUCCUCACAGCGCGGUGCAGUUCUCCGCCAGGGGAGGAGACGGCUGCCAUUUGCUGAACUGAGGAAGUAUGAAGAUUGGCCCGGGCGGAAGCAGGAGGGGCCCUCUGGUCUGUGGCUGGCCUUGGCCAUGCCCUUCGCCCUGCUGCAGAAGCCCAGGCAGACGAUGGGGGUAGUUUCUUUGGGGGAACCCUUCUUCCCAUGGCCUACUUUUCACUUCGUUAUGUGGGGACGCCUGAAGCUAGUGGGCCCUGACUGCGGACACCCGGAUGUGCGGCCUCCCAGCGUCCCUGGCGAGUCCCGAAUGGGCCACAGCAGCGGGUAACGGAAAGAGGAGGCCGCCAUGACGAUGGCGUCCUUUCCUCCCUCUGGGACGCCAUUUUGGAAACAUUUUCUUCAUCAGGCGUCCUUGGAGGUAUCCGAAGCUUUCCCCCUAAAUACUUUAUUAGAAGUUUCUAACAGAGUAGUCGGCAUUUACAGCCCACACGCAGGCCCCCAUGCUGGGGCACUCCCCGCACCCCUCCCCGCAUGGUGCCUGCAGAUGAGGGGCUGGGAUGCCAGCUCCCGGUGGCUUCCUGGGCCGAGUCCCGUGGCUGCUGCUUGCAUUGCUUUACUCUUAGCACCGCGGUCGAUGGGGGCCUUUACACCCCAACCCGGCUUUGGGGACUGAGGUCAUGGUUCUGGAUUCCUGAAACUGCUGCUGCCUGCGGGGUCCCUGGAAAUGUCAGUUGCCAGUGGCCUGCACCAAUGCUGAAGCAGACGCCCCCUGGCGGUCGAAAGCUGGUGGCGGACUCCGGGCUCAGGACCUUUAUGUUGUGUGCCCAGGGAGCAUGGGGUUGCUCUCUCCUGUGCUCCUGGGUGCUGGAAGUCUCUUUUGGCAUCCCAGACGCCGAAACCGCCAUAGCGCCUUUGUGUCUGCAGUGCCCACGCCUGGCACCUGUCCCCGGCCUGUGCCACCCCCGGACCACUGGUUCCUGGUUACAACUUGCGGUUUCAGUCUCAUCUGAGUUGAAGUCUUGGCCCAGACGUGUGCUGGCUGAGGUGUUGUUGGCAGGACAUUUUAGUAUCCGUCCAGGUGAGUGGUGUUUUAUUUGGGAAUAAAAGUGGGGUGUGAGCAUUGUGUUUUGUGGUUGGGACAUCAGAGUAUCAGAGUGCCUGGGUUUCAUGUGUAUCACCUUCCUGCUAAAGAGAUCCUCGGGGGUUAAGGCUGAAAUGCUUGGGUUACUGCCACCUGUCAGGGAGAUCUGGGGUGACUUCCUGGUUCUUGGCUCGCCCCUGGUGCCAUUGCAUGUGUGUGGGGAGUGGAUCAGUGGAUGAAUAAGCAACUGAACUCAAACACACGGAAUGUUCCUUUGCCGGGAAUCCAUCUAAUGGUUUCCCCUGACCGAGGACUGAAUGCUGGUGUUGUCUGGUUUGCUCUUUCCCUGAUGGUGUUUUAGACAAUAUGCACAAGACACAGGGAAGACAGACUACAAACUACGAACUCAGUAGCUAGAGACUGUUUAUUCAGAGACAGACCUGAGGGCCCACUACUAGCGAGGGUCGGGACAAGUUCUGAUAGAGACUGGGGCUUAUCUAGCCUGAGUACUUUUGGAUCAGGCUGGGCAGGGAUUAGGCAGAGCUGAGAUGGUUUGCCUUGGCUUUUUCAACCUUCCAGAGUGCUGGGGCUAUUGGUUGAACUCUUGAGGCAGUGAUGUGGCUGUAACACGGCAUCACUUCUGCCCAUGAUGUUGCUCAAGGUCCUGUAUUCCUACUCCCAGGACAGAGAGAGAGAUGGGUGCUGGUGUCCUAUUGGCCACUUCCUGCUGAUGCAGGGCUGUAGUCCAGAGUGACUGGAGAAGAAGAUCAGUCUUGUGAUGUUCCUGCGGGAUGUCUUGGGAUCUAGCAGUCACUGGUUCCUGUGAGCACUUUUGAAAUGUGCAAUUAUAUAUCAUAAGAAUAAAGCACCGUGAUUAUGAGGAAAAAAGAAAGUAGUAGAAAAGUUACCCAGAGUGGCAAAGAUGGCUAAGAUGUGGCAAGGGUAUUGUAAUGCAUUCUUACAUUUCAUUAGCAUGCUUUUCAAUGUGCUCAAUAGCAUCUCUCACAGCACCUGACUGACUGGUGUACAAGCCACACUCUUUUUUUUUUUGACAGAAUGGACACUGAGAGAGAGAGAAACACAGAGAGCAAGGUCUUCCUUUUCUAUUGGUUCACCCCGCAAUGGCCACUGGGGCCGGCGCACUACACUGAUCCGA